GGGCCUAUAGCUCAGUUGGUUAGAGCNNGUCCCUGGUUCAAGCCCAGGUGGGCCCA
rnacentral:tRNA from 1 species